rnacentral:tRNA from 1 species
CGGGCAGUAUCUCAGUGGCAGAGGUUUCGCCUCAUAUGCGAAAACACCCGGGUUCGACUCUUGGCUGUUUAC